rnacentral:piRNA from 1 species
UGACAGCUGCCAGGAAGGAGGAACU